GUCGCUCUUACCUGCGUCUUGCGUACAUAUGAGGGGUGUGACAAAAUGCCUUCUACUGAGGAGAUUCAUCUGAGUUGGGUAGAUGAGAACGACAAGAAACUACAAGAAACCGCAGAGCGUCAGAUCCAAACCACAUCAGCCUGUCAUAUCACACUCAAAGAGUCCCACCUUCACCACAAGGAGAAGACAUGGAGAUGCAAACUGACAGAUGGAUGGAUUAAUAUCUUAGCCACCUACACAAUGUUUGAUGGACCUUAUCCAACAGUUUCUACACCAGAUCCAACCAGAACAUCCCAGGACAUUAGUACAAUGGAAUCUGAAGGGAAAUCCAGUACAUCUAUAGGUACAGUUAGAACGUUUCUUUGAACAUGUAUACUAAGAGACCAGCUUUCUUUGUAUAG
ensembl:lncRNA